AGUGAACGCUGGCGGUAGGCCUAACACAUGCAAGUCGAACGGCAGCACAGUAAGAGCUUGCUCUUACGGGUGGCGAGUGGCGGACGGGUGAGGAAUACAUCGGAAUCUACUUUUUCGUGGGGGAUAACGUAGGGAAACUUACGCUAAUACCGCAUACGACCUACGGGUGAAAGCAGGGGAUCUUCGGACCUUGCGCGAUUGAAUGAGCCGAUGUCGGAUUAGCUAGUUGGCGGGGUAAAGGCCCACCAAGGCGACGAUCCGUAGCUGGUCUGAGAGGAUGAUCAGCCACACUGGAACUGAGACACGGUCCAGACUCCUACGGGAGGCAGCAGUGGGGAACAUUGGACAAUGGGCGCAAGCCUGAUCCAGCCAUACCGCGUGGGUGAAGAAGGCCUUCGGGUUGUGAAGCCCUUUUGUUGGGAAAGAAAAGCAGCAGGUUAAUACCCCGCUGUUCUGACGGUACCCAAAGAAUAAGCACCGGCUAACUUCGUG
rnacentral:rRNA from 1 species